rnacentral:rRNA from 1 species
UACGUAGGUGGCAAGCGUUGUCCGGAUUUACUGGGUGUAAAGGGCGUGUAGCCGGGCAGACAAGUCAGAUGUGAAAUCCGGGGGCUCAACCCCCGAACUGCAUUUGAAACUGUUGGUCUUGAGUAUCGGAGAGGCAGGCGGAAUUCCUAGUGUAGCGGUGAAAUGCGUAGAUAUUAGGAGGAACACCAGUGGCGAAGGCGGCCUGCUGGACGACAACUGACGGUGAGGCGCGAAAGCGUGGGGAGCAAACAGG